AGCCCAUAAUCCCUAGUCCCAUACCCCUAACCUAAUUCCUACCCCUAUAUAUAGUAUCUAAUACCUAAAAUAAACCUACACACCCUAGACACCAAAAAACAUUAGAUCCGCCGUUCCAUCUUCUAGACUACAAAAAUCCUAAAGCUUCAGCACCAAGAAAGGAAACGAAACGAAGAACACAAAAAGAAAAGGACAUCAGUCCUUUGAAUUCAAAAAGAAAAGGAAAAAAAAGCACACAAAAAUACACAAAAAUAACGCACCCAGGGACACUGAAAAGGAUUUGAGCGCUGUUACCCCAUGGAUCACGCCUUCUUCUUCUUCAUGAAGAAUGCCUAAGACCUCAAAAAAAACACAAAAAUGGGGAACUGAUCUGCCGUUUGGACCCAUCGAGAACCCCCCCUCCGUUCUGCUUCUUCUUCUUCAACCAAACAACACUGAUCUCCGCCCGAACUCACCUCUGAAUUUCAGUCCAACGACCUUCAAAAUACUACUGUUUCAGUCCAAAAUCUAGCUCAAAAAUAGCUGAAAAUAACUUCAAAAUCAGGUGGAGUUCAUCUCCGUCGUUUUGGUUUAGUUCAAGUUUUCCGGUGAGCUUCGAGUCGUCGAAAGUUGCUGUCCGAUUCUCCGUUCAGUUGCACGUCGAUGUACUGUUGUUGUCGCCGGUGAGUUUCCGUUUAAUGGUUCCGGCUCCGGUCAGAAAUUCACUCUUGUUUGAAUUUUGAAAGAAGCAGUCAAGUAAUUGCAAAGAUUCAGGCACUUUGGAUCCAGUGGCGGAUGUUUGAUCGAUGCUUCUGACUUAGAAGAUUAUUGAGGUACCUGCACAGCGUUCGCAGGCCGUGGCUCUCCACCUUACUUACCUAUUGUAUUUCAGUUGCUCCCUUAGACAUUAUAGUAGACUAUGUAUGUUCAUUCGACGCUCAUGUACUCAGUGACACCCCGGUUUUUAGCUAGAUUGUAUUUAUUCUUGGAAUUUCUUAUGUUUCAAAUAGUUCUUUAACUGUUAAAAGCUUCCAUAAAUGUUUUCAAACUUAAUAUUAUCGGGUUGAUUGUUGA